ensembl:snoRNA
CCUGAUCCUACAAACAUUGCAGGUUUCGCUACUGUGUGUUACGUGCAUCAGUGGGUAGAACACAAGCGAGAGGCUGUGUCUCACCCAUUGUCUGACCUACAGACAUCGGAGUUUUUAGUCGCUUGACACC